UCCGUAGCUGGUCUGAGAGGAUGAUCAGCCACACUGGAACUGAGACACGGUCCAGACUCCUACGGGAGGCAGCAGUGGGGAAUAUUGGACAAUGGGCGCAAGCCUGAUCCAGCCAUACCGCGUGGGUGAAGAAGGCCUUCGGGUUGUAAAGCCCUUUUGUUGGGAAAGAAAUCCAGCCGGCUAAUACCCGGUUGGGAUGACGGUACCCAAAGAAUAAGCACCGGCUAACUUCGUGCCAGCAGCCGCGGUAAUACGAAGGGUGCAAGCGUUACUCGGAAUUACUGGGCGUAAAGCGUGCGUAGGUGGUCGUUUAAGUCCGUUGUGAAAGCCCUGGGCUCAACCUGGGAACUGCAGUGGAUACUGGGCGACUAGAGUGUGGUAGAGGGUAGCGGAAUUCCUGGUGUAGCAGUGAAAUGCGUAGAGAUCAGGAGGAACAUCCAUGGCGAAGGCAGCUACCUGGACCAAC
rnacentral:rRNA from 1 species